GAUGAAGAACGUAGCGAAAUGCGAUAAGUAAUGCGAAUUGCAGAAUUCCAGUGAGUCAUCGAAUCUUUGAACGCACAUUGCGCCCUUUGGUAUUCCUUAGGGCAUGCCUGUUCGAGCGUCAUUUAAACCUUCAAGCUCUGCUUGGUGUUGGGCAUGUCACGCCCCCCUCCGCGGGGGUGUGCGCCUCAAAUCUAUUGGCGGCCGGUACGUUGGCUUCGAGCGCAGCAGAAACGCGAACUCGAGGACUCCGGAUCGGCCCUCCACAAGCUAUUUUACCAUUUUGACCUCGGAUCAGGUAGGGAUACCCGCUGAACUUAAGCAUAUCAAUAAGCGGAGGA
rnacentral:misc_RNA from 1 species